AAGGAUCAUUAUCGAACUAGAGUCCAGAGGGGAAAAGGAGAGCGGGCGAAGUUUGUAGAAUGUUAGAGAUUGUCGCUGGCCUUUGGAAACGAAGGCAUGUGCACGUCUCGAGAUCUACUUAGUCCUCGAUCUCUUUUCCUUUCGGGAAGCUUUUUCCUACACCUGUGCACCCGUUGUAGGUCCCGCGAGGGAUCUAUGUUUUUCAUCCACACCAAUCGUAUGGCCAGAAUGUUUUUUAAUGCGUCGAUCGGCAUGGCCUCGGUCAUGUUGGCGACGGUAAAGAAAUCAAAUACAACUUUCAGCAACGGAUCUCUUGGCUCUC
rnacentral:misc_RNA from 1 species